CUCGGUUCACACUCCCCUACAGUACUGAUUGGCAUGAAAUAAACUACUUGCACUCAAAUCCGUGACUGAAGGUCUGCUUCUUGGGGAGCCCAGGAUAAGAUGCCCCACGUCUCUCCUCCUUCCUUCGAGGAAGCCUAGUGUCUUGCUUCUGACUGUUUUCCUUCUUUUUCAAGCACAGAAAAAUGGGCCAUUUCGACAGACAUAACAGUUUGCUCACUGAAUUGCUGCCCAUUGUACUUGGAAUGAGUAAUAACAACAAAAGCCUCCCUAACACAGUCUACCAGAACCUGCAGUAUCUGAGCCCAGCCUGCCUCCAGUCCUGUCCUCAAUCACUGCUCAUAGUUUUAUUGCAGGGAGCCGAAGGCCCAUGGGAAAUGACCAACUCGGCAUUCCACUGGAGGCUAUAUGAUCAAACAGCAAACUGUUUAUCAUGAAUGCAGGAUGUGGGCAAACUCACGACUGCUCCUGCCGACAGAAGGUUUGCUGGAGGCAAUCACUCCCUGGUACUGAGGUUAUCUAUGGUGACAUCUAGAGCCUCUUGUUCGAGGAAUGCAGUCUUGCAAGCCUACUCUGGACUGAGCAGCUGACCCCUUCUUCCACCCCUCUUCUCACUAUCUCUUUUGCCUAAUAAAUAUGGAGGGCUGUGUAAAGCUCAGGGUCCUUGUCCACUAGAGGCAAGGUGCCCCCUGACCCCUUCUUCCAAAUAUACUCUUUUGUCUCUUGUCUUUUAUUCCCAGGUUCGCCCCCUUGGUUCAGUCCCCCUAGGUCCAUGCAGGCUACAAGUGGCACUUGAACAGGCAACAGUCCGAACACAGGGACUAUGAGGACAUGAACGAAGAAGGUCUGCCGGAGCAGAGGAACUGAAAUUGAAAGGUGAACAGGGAUGCCGGGCCGGGUCUGCCAGCAGCGGAUAUAAGUCUGUAAAAUCAGAUGGACUGCCAAUUGGAGAAUGAGAGCUGCCCAGCCUGGCCUUAUGUUCUUUCAAUUAAUUCAUAAACAGAAAGGGGGAUAUGCAGGGAGCCGAAGGCCCGUAGGAUUCGGCAUUCCACUGGAGGCUAUGUGAUCAAACAGCAAACUGUUUAUCAUGAAUGCAGAAUGUGGGCAAACUCACAACUGCUCCUGCCGACAGAAGGUUUGCUGGAGGCAAUCACUCCCUGGCACUGAGGUUAUCUACUGCGACAUCUAGAGCCUGUUGUUCGAGGAAUGCAGUCUUGCAAGCCUACUCUGGACUGAGCAGCUGACCCCUUCUUCCACCCCCCUUCUCACUAUCUCUUUUGCCUAAUAAAUAUGGAGGGCUGUGUAAAGCUCAGGGCCCUUGUCUACUAGAAGCAAAGUGCCCCCUGACUCCUUCUUCCAAAUACA